UUGUUUCUUUCUCUUUUUCAUUUUAUCUCUUAUAGUGUAUAGGGCAAAGGUAAGUUUCUUUGGUAUUUUUUUAAUGAAUAAAGUUGUCUGGGAUUGUUCUAAAAGUUUCAAAAUAUAUGGAUUAAGUUCAUUUUGUUUUUUUUUCUUAUUAGGUCUACCAUGUUUUUUUUGGCAUUUAAAUAUUGCAUAUUUAUUUUGUGUGAUCUUUGUUUGUUAGCACGAUGAGAAGCAUUUGGGGAUAAUCUGAGUUUUUCUUCUCAAAUCAUAGCAUUUUUUAUCCAAACAUUUCCUGGUUCCAUUUGGUAAGAACUUAUAUUUAUAUAAAUAUAUAUUAGUUUCCCGUCAUACAUACAUACAUCUAUAUAUUGCAUUUGUGUUGUUAUGCAAUUUGGUUAGUAAAUGAUUCUUAAAUGAAUUUAAUAUUUGAGAAAUUGACAAGAUUUCAUAAAGCUGUGCUAUUUCUCACAAUAUCCAGAGUUAGAAUGAUUUAUACAUUUUUUUGUGUGUUUUAUUUUUGUAUUGGGGUUUUUACUUUAUUCUUGCUGGCUGAAAUGUAUAUAGGGAAUUCACUUUGGAUUGACGGUUGGAACAUGUAUUUUGCCUUUUUUUCUUUUUCUUCAAUUUUCCGUUAAAGAUAUCACUAUUUUAAUCUUCCAACCGCAAGUAAUUUUUUUCUUAAACUAUAUAUUGUCUCACUUUUUCAAAUUAUAAUUUUAUUAUUAUUUUUUUCUAUUACCCUUCAGCGUGCUGGAGCAGUAUUUCUGCAGAGAUCUGAGAGAGCUGCACCGGUCUUUACCCCUCCACAAACACAACCAUUGUCUUCAUAUCCACAGAAUCUGCGCAAUUCUGACAUUCAUCAAGAUACAGUUGAGCCGUCUGCAGAGUUUGAGUUUCCUACCUUGAGCUUGUCAGAAAUUCAGAAUGCAUGUGGCAUAAUGGAUGUUCUUACAGAAAUGCUUAGCGCAAUUGAUCCAGAGAAUAAAGAGGGCCUUAGACAAGAGGUUAUUGUUGAUUUGGUGGAACAGUGCUGGACAUAUAAGCAGAGAACGG